GUCCCCUUCGUCUAGUGGUCAGGACACCGCCCUUUCACGGCGGCAGCACGGGUUCGAGCCCCGUAGGGGACGCCA
rnacentral:tRNA from 1 species